CGACGGUGAGGGACGAAUGCUGGGGGCGCAAACCGGAUUAGAUACCCGGGUAGUCCCAGCAGUAAACGAUGCCAGCUAUGUGUUGCUGGAACCAUGGGUUCCAGCAGUGCCGAAAGGAAGCCGUGAAGCUGGCCACCUGGGAAGUACGGUCGCAAGGCUGAAACUUAAAGGAAUUGGCGGGGGAGUACCACAACCGGUGGAGCCUGCGGUUUAAUUGGAUACAACGCCGGGAAUCUUACCGGAGGGGACAGCAGUAUGAAGGCCAGGCUAAAGACCUUGCCAGAUCAGCUGAGAGGAGGUGCAUGGCCGUCGCCAGUUCGUACCGUGAGGCAUCCUGUUUAGUCAGGCAACGAUCGAGACCCGCAGUCUUAUUUGCCAGCAUGCCCUUUGGGGUGUAUGGGUACAAUAAGACGACCGCCAGCGCUAAGCUGGAGGAAGGAGCGGGCUACGGUAGGUCAGCAUGCCCCGAAUCCUCCGGGAUACACGCGGGCUACAAUGGUCAGGACAAAAGGUACCGACCUCGAAAGAGUGAGGUAAUCCACAAACCUGAUCUCAGUCCGGAUCGAAGGCUGCAACUCGCCUUCGUGAAG
rnacentral:rRNA from 1 species